CCUAGUUCUAACCCUAAACGAUGCUGACCAGCUAUUCGUUAGCGUUAUUCCCAUGACGUGACGAGACGCCCCCGGGAAACCUCGAGUCUUUGAGUUCCGGGGGUAGUAUGGUUGCAAAACUGAAACUUAAAGGAAUUGACGGAAGGGCACCACCAGGAGUGGAGCCUGCGGCUUAAUUUGACUCAACACGGGAAACCUCACCAGGCCCGGACACCAGAAGGAUUGACAGAUUAAGAGCUCUUUCUCAAUUUGGUGGGUGGUGGUGCAUGGCCGUUCUUAGUUGGUGGAGUGAUUUGUCUGGUUAAUUCCGGUAACGAACGAGACUCUGGCCUACUAACUAGUGGGCGGGUGUUCCGGUAAGGGGCCCCGCCCGACAAAUGUCUUCUUAGAGGGAUGAGCAGCGAGUAUAGCUGCAGGAGAUUGAGCAAUAACAGGUCUGUGAUGCCCUUAGAA
rnacentral:rRNA from 1 species